rnacentral:siRNA from 1 species
ACCAUUAGUGUCUCGUGCAACCA